rnacentral:rRNA from 1 species
GAUUGCGCAAUGGGCGAAACCUGACGCAGCCAUGCCGCGUGCGGGAAGACGGCCCUCGGGGUGGAAACCUCUUUUUAUAGGGAGGAAAACCCCGAUGCGUGUAUCGGCUUGACGGGACUGUAUGAACAGGGACCGGCUCCGUCCAUGCCAGGCCCCGCGGCAAUAUAAUAA